rnacentral:rRNA from 2 species
GGGUUGUGAGGUUAAGCGACUAAGCGUACACGGUGGAUGCCCUGGCAGUCAGAGGCGAUGAAGGACGUGCUAAUCUGCGAAAAGCGUCGGUAAGGUGAUAUGAACCGUUACAGCCGGCGAUGUCCGAAUGGGGAAACCCAGUGCAAUUCGUUGCACUAUCGUUUGAUGAAUACAUAGUCAAACGAGGCGAACCGGGGGAACUGAAACAUCUAAGUACCCCGAGGAAAAGAAAUCAACCGAGAUUCCCCCAGUAGCGGCGAGCGAACGGGGAGCAGCCCGGAGUCUGAAUCAGCUUGUGUGUUAGUGGAAGCGUCUGGAAAGUCGCAGGGUACAGGGUGAUACUCCCGUACACUAAAACACACAGGUUGUGAACUCGAAGAGUAGGGCGGGACACGUGGUAUCCUGUCUGAAUAUGGGGGGACCAUCCUCCAAGGCUAAAUACUCCUGACUGACCGAUAGUGAACCAGUACCGUGAGGGAAAGGCGAAAAGAACCCCGGCGAGGGGAGUGAAAAAGAACCUGAAACCGUGUACGUACAAGCAGUAGGAGCCCACUAGUUGGGUGACUGCGUACCUUUUGUAUAAUGGGUCAGCGACUUAUAUUCUGUAGCAAGGUUAACCGUAUAGGGGAGCCGCAGGGAAACCGAGUCUUAACUGGGCGUUAAGUUGCAGGGUAUAGACCCGAAACCCGGUGAUCUAGCCAUGGGCAGGUUGAAGGUUGGGUAACACUAACUGGAGGACCGAACCGACUAAUGUUGAAAAAUUAGCGGAUGACUUGUGGCUGGGGGUGAAAGGCCAAUCAAACCGGGAGAUAGCUGGUUCUCCCCGAAAGCUAUUUAGGUAGCGCCUCGUGAACUCAUCUUCGGGGGUAGAGCACUGUUUCGGCUAGGGGGUCAUCCCGACUUACCAACCCGAUGCAAACUACGAAUACCGAAGAAUGUUAUCACGGGAGACACACGGCGGGUGCUAACGUCCGUCGUGAAGAGGGAAACAACCCAGACCGCCAGCUAAGGUCCCAAAGUCAUGGUUAAGUGGGAAACGAUGUGGGAAGGCCCAGACAGCCAGGAUGUUGGCUUAGAAGCAGCCAUCAUUUAAAGAAAGCGUAAUAGCUCACUGGUCGAGUCGGCCUGCGCGGAAGAUGUAACGGGGCUAAACCAUGCACCGAAGCUGCGGCAGCGACACUAUGUGUUGUUGGGUAGGGGAGCGUUCUGUAAGCCGUUGAAGGUGGCCUGUGAGGGUUGCUGGAGGUAUCAGAAGUGCGAAUGCUGACAUAAGUAACGAUAAUGCGGGUGAAAAACCCGCACGCCGGAAGACCAAGGGUUCCUGUCCAACGUUAAUCGGGGCAGGGUGAGUCGACCCCUAAGGCGAGGCCGAAAGGCGUAGUCGAUGGGAAACAGGUUAAUAUUCCUGUACUCGGUGUUACUGCGAAGGGGGGACGGAGAAGGCUAUGUUGGCCGGGCGACGGUUGUCCCGGUUUAAGCAUGUAGGCGGAUGUUCCAGGUAAAUCCGGAACGUCACUAACGCUGAGGUGUGAUGACGAGGCACUACGGUGCUGAAGUGACAAAUGCCCUGCUUCCAGGAAAAGCCUCUAAGCAUCAGGUAACAUCAAAUCGUACCCCAAACCGACACAGGUGGUCAGGUAGAGAAUACCAAGGCGCUUGAGAGAACUCGGGUGAAGGAACUAGGCAAAAUGGUGCCGUAACUUCGGGAGAAGGCACGCUGAUGGUAGGUGAAGUGACUUGCUCAUGGAGCUGAAAUCAGUCGAAGAUACCAGCUGGCUGCAACUGUUUAUUAAAAACACAGCACUGUGCAAACACGAAAGUGGACGUAUACGGUGUGACGCCUGCCCGGUGCCGGAAGGUUAAUUGAUGGGGUUAUCCGUAAGGAGAAGCUCUUGAUCGAAGCCCCGGUAAACGGCGGCCGUAACUAUAACGGUCCUAAGGUAGCGAAAUUCCUUGUCGGGUAAGUUCCGACCUGCACGAAUGGCGUAAUGAUGGCCAGGCUGUCUCCACCCGAGACUCAGUGAAAUUGAACUCGCUGUGAAGAUGCAGUGUACCCGCGGCAAGACGGAAAGACCCCGUGAACCUUUACUAUAGCUUGACACUGAACACUGGUCCUUGAUGUGUAGGAUAGGUGGGAGGCUUUGAAGUGUGGACGCCAGUCUGCAUGGAGCCAUCCUUGAAAUACCACCCUUUAAUGGCUGGUGUUCUAACGUGGGCCCCUAAUCGGGGUUGCGGACAGUGUCUGGUGGGUAGUUUGACUGGGGCGGUCUCCUCCUAAAGAGUAACGGAGGAGCACGAAGGUCAGCUAAUCCUGGUCGGACAUCAGGAGGUUAGUGCAAUGGCAUAAGCUGGCUUGACUGCGAGCGUGACGGCGCGAGCAGGUGCGAAAGCAGGUCAUAGUGAUCCGGUGGUUCUGAAUGGAAGGGCCAUCGCUCAACGGAUAAAAGGUACUCCGGGGAUAACAGGCUGAUACCGCCCAAGAGUUCAUAUCGACGGCGGUGUUUGGCACCUCGAUGUCGGCUCAUCACAUCCUGGGGCUGAAGUAGGUCCCAAGGGUAUGGCUGUUCGCCAUUUAAAGUGGUACGCGAGCUGGGUUUAGAACGUCGUGAGACAGUUCGGUCCCUAUCUGCCGUGGGCGCUGGAGAAUUGAGGGGGGCUGCUCCUAGUACGAGAGGACCGGAGUGGACGCAUCACUGGUGUUCGGGUUGUCAUGCCAAUGGCAUUGCCCGGUAGCUAAAUGCGGAAGAGAUAAGUGCUGAAAGCAUCUAAGCACGAAACUUGCCCCGAGAUGAGUUCUCCCUGACUCCUUGAGAGUCCUGAAGGAACGUUGAAGACGACGACGUUGAUAGGCCGGGUGUGUAAGCGCAGCGAUGCGUUGAGCUAACCGGUACUAAUGAACCGUGAGGCUUAACCUUACAACGCCGAAG